rnacentral:miRNA from 1 species
UCCAGAGCCCGUUGAAGUCAG